ACAUAUGUUUAUAAAAAGUUUUAGUACCACACUGAAUACAAAAACCCUAUGCAUAUGACAUCAUUGUUAAAUUAGAAAAUUUGAUUACAUUUUUUAAACAUCGUGACUAAAAUGUAAUUUUAAUGCCCGUCCGUUUUCUUCCGCGAAUAAAAACUUGCUGUUUCUUUAUCAAGGAUUUGAAAUGGGCAGCAAUAUUGAUUGCUCUGUUUGGACUGGUAGAAGGUACAAUAACUGUGGUUAUAUUUAUAGAAGCAUGUAACACAUUGUACACAGCCAGUGGGCAUCUUGGCAUCACCAUGUUGGUAUGGAUUGGCUGUACGACGACAUUCGGAAUCUUUUUAAUUAUCGGCGCGUUGUGCUUUUUUGUACAAAUAUUUUUUAAACGACAAUACGCAGACAAUUUAUUCAUAUGGCUAUUAAUCAUAGUGCCAAUUUUUAAUAUUGUAUAUUUCAUACUGGUAGUACUACGAGUAAAUGUGGAUAAGGUGCAAUGUAGGCCUUUUGGUCUUGACUUUGAGGUACAUCAAAGUUCGCCUGGAAGUGCAUAUCUC